rnacentral:lncRNA from 1 species
GACAAAGUUCCAAUUAUAAAAUACCUCCAACAAGUCGCGGUUCAUUUGGUGAGCCAAGUUGAUCAAGCUAUUAUUCAAUGGCCAUAAAAUACACAACGUUUCAUGCCUGAGUGACAGACUCUUGGUCGAUAAAACUCACAAAAAAUGCAAACAACCCCUAAGUUAGGAUAAGAAUUAAAGCAUUAGAACCUCUACAAUCCCAAGUUCAAGCACAAAUACAAACAGGAGCGUAGGCCGUAGCUAUGAACCCCCACUACAUUGGAAAUUACACUGUGAAAAUAAGGUCAAUGUUUCUUAUCGUGUUUAUUUUUUUUACUAGUAUUAGGACCCGCGCAAUGCGAGGUUUAUUUUAACUAAUCUUAUCAUAGCAAGGAAUACUCUGCACAUUGUAAAAAGCAACACACUUGAUUAAGGACUAAAUAAAUCGAAAGUUAUGGCUUUGCAUCCAUUUUUAUUUGGCACAAGCCAUCAGUUUAUGGCUUUGUAUCCAUUUCUUAUAUUGCCUCAUAAUACCAAACUCACAAUGUUAUGGCUUUGUACUUUGCUAUGCUUUAGCUAGGUCCAUGGAUUACCAACUCAUCAGAAACAGAAUAACUAUGUUGAAAAGGUAUUUUACUGAUCCUGGCAGAGUUAACUUCAUUUACACCUGCCAUUCUCCAUUUACGCAAGCUUGUAUUAGUUCUAAUUAAAAAUAGUUUUAUGUGUAGUAUCCACAUAAACUUAAUUUAUAAAAU